AUGGGGGAGGUGGAUUUGGAGGAUGUGGUGUUCUCCUGGUCGGCCCAGGAGAUCGCCGACGACGACCUCUACAGGGGCAAGGUUGUAACCAUUCCCUGCAACUUCAAGUCACUUGAUCACUAUCUUGUAUCGUUUCGUGUUCCUCUGAUUGAAGAAACAAGGUCAGAUCUGUGCUCAUGCCUUCAACUCAUCAGUGAAGCACCCUCGUCGCAAAUACUUUCCAUGGAGGUGGCGGGGAAAUCGGGAUCAUACUUUAUGGAUGUGGACUUUUGGGAUAAUGAUGCUGGUUUUUCUACUGGGAAUUAUACUAUGAGGAAUGGUGACAUAUUAAUUUUGUCUAGCAUAAAACCUGAAGCUGCAGAGGACUUAAACCACCAUGGUCUGACAUACUGCUUGGCAAUGGUUACUGAGGUUUCUAUAGAUGAUGAAUGCCAGAAGGGCUUCAGAGUCAAAGUUGCAAAGAAUAAUUGUUUGGAAGAAGAAGAUUUAAACAAACUCAAGCAUGCAAUAUUUCUCAACAAUAUCACGACAAACAUGCAGAUAUGGAAAGCACUUACCUUUGAUACGCACAUGGAUAACAAUUUCACAGUAAUCAAGUCGCUCUUAGACCCCACAGAUCUGGGUCAGGAUGUUUGUGAUGUCUGUAUUAAACAGGAUAGGGGUUGUUUGGCUUCUUUCACAGAGCAACUACUUUCGAUUAAGCUUAAUCGAUCACAAAUUGAUGCUAUUGAAUCUGUCAUCUCAGCUGUACAAUGUGAGCAUGUGAACCUCAUGAAGCUUAUAUGGGGUCCACCAGGUACUGGAAAGACAAAUACAGUUAGCGCUUUAUUGUGGGUUUUGGCGCAUUUGAAAUGCAGAACUCUUGCUUGUGCUCCCACUAAUGUUGCUGUUAUUGGAGUUUGCACUCGUUUCCUUCAAAAACUGAAGGAUUUCAAUGAGAUCAUUGAUGAAAAUGGUCUACCUUUUUCUGUUGGAGAUAUCUUGCUCUUUGGAAGCAGGUCUAACAUGGACAUCACCGAGGAUCUUCAGGAAGUUUUCUUGGAUUUUCGUGCCGACCAACUUGCGGAAUGCUUUUCAUCGUCGUCCGGAUGGAACUACAGAAUAGCUUCAAUGGCAUCCUUUUUUGAAGACUGUGCUUCACGGUAUGAUAUGCUUCUUGAGGAUGAUGACAAAAUUGGUCCAGUGUGCUUUCUGGACUUCAUUAAGAAGCAAUUUGAUGCAACAGCAAUAGCUCUGAAAAAAUGCAUAAUGAAUUUGUGGCUUCACCUUCCUGGAAGGUGCUUUUCUCAUGAUAGUGUCAUAAAUAUAUCUACGUUGCUUGAUAUGCUGGAAAAAUUUGGCGCCCUUCUGUGCAACAUAGACUUGACCGAUGAGGGCUUGAAAAGGGGCCUUGGUUGUCUAUCAACUGAAAACUCUGUUUGUGCAAAGCCUAUAUCUUCAAUUGAGAAGGAACUUGAUGGAGCAAGGUUUACAUGCCUUAAGUUGCUUAAAGAUCUGCUACACUCGCUUAACUUACCCACUGGAGUAGACAAAAACUGGGUCAAGAACUACUGCAUACGUAAUGCAACACUUCUUUUCUGUACUGCCUCUAGUUCUUAUCGGUUACAUCACAUGGAUAUUGCACCCCUCGAUGUAUUAAUUGUUGAUGAGGCUUCUCAAGUGCGGGAGUGUGAAUUGGUGAUCUCAUUACGGCUACAUUGGCUAAAACAUGUUGUUUUGGUAGGGGAUGACUGUCAGCUGAGUGCGAUAGUUAAAAGCAAAGUAUGUAAAGAAGCUGGAUUUGGAACAAGUCUUUUUGGGAGACUGGUUACGCUAAAAUUUGAAAAACAUUUGCUGAAUAUACAGUAUCGCAUGAAUCCUUGUAUCAGCUUAUUUCCAAAUGCUCAGUUUUAUGAGAGGAAGAUUUUAGAUAGUUCCAGUGUCCUGUCUCCUAGCUAUAAUAAGGAUUACAGAUGCCUCCCUUUUGGCAGCUACACAUUUAUAAAUGUCAUUGAUGGAAGAGAAGACAAAGAGGACAUGGGAAACAGUCGGAGAAACAUGGUUGAAGUUGCUAUUGUUUUGCACCUAAUCCAUACCAUCUUUAAAUCUUGGAAAAAGACAGGCCAAGGUUUCAGCAUCGGCGUGGUUUCUCCAUAUAAUGCUCAAGUUGAUGCAAUUAAAAUUAGACUUGGCAAAAAAUACGAUGCAUGUGAUGGCUUUCAUGUGCGGGUGAAGUCCAUUGAUGGUUUCCAAGGAGAAGAGGACGAUAUAAUAAUACUAUCAACUGUUAGAUCCAAUGGGAGAGGAGCUGUUGGAUUUCUUGCUGAUAACCAAAGAACAAAUGUCGCUCUUACUAGAGCAAGGCACUGUCUUUGGAUUGCUGGGAAUGCUCAUACAUUGUAUAAAAGUGGGACCGAAUGGACAGACCUUGUUGCUGAUGCAGAAAUACGUAAAUGUGUUUUCAGUGUGACUAAUGACGCAAUCAUCUGUAGGUUGGUUUUGCAAGUAAAGCAAGAGCUUGAUGAACUUGAUGAUCUUCUUAAUGCUGAUUCUGUGGUUUUCAGCAAUACCAGAUGGAAGGUCAUUCUUAGCGAAGAGUUUAGGAAGUCUUUUACCAAACUAAAAUCAACACAGCUCAGGAGGGAAGUACUCCAAAAGCUUAUCAAACUUGGAGGUGGUUGGAGGGCAACAGUUAAGAACCUUGAUAUACCUGGUGUUUCUCAUCUUGCAAAAGUAUACAAGGUUAGGGAUCUGCAUCUUGUAUGGAGUACUGACAUGGAGAAAACCGAAAGAAGGUAUUUCCAGAUAAUAAAAAUUUGGGACCUACUGUCACAGCAAAAUGUUGGAAGAACUGUUCAACGUCUCGAGAAUUUGUUUUCCAUGUACACGGAUGAUUACCUGGAUCACUGCAGGAGAGUGCAGACACAGGGGAAACUGGAGGUUCCUAAGGUUUGGGAUGUUGAGCAUGAUAUUAUUCGCUAUAACAUGGAUUUCAAAUUUGAUGCUCAUAAAGAGCAUGAUCUCGUGGAUACAUCAUAUGCCAUGGAGAAUUCAAAAGUUAAUGAAAGCUUCUUGCUGAUGAAGUUCUACUCAUUAUCAUCUGGAAUGGCAAAGCAUUUGCUGACAGCUACUGAUGGGUCUGAAAUCAACAUCCCCUUUGAACUGAGUGAUGAAGAAAAGGUGAUAAUCCAAUUCCCGCUCACUAGUUUUAUACUUGGGAGGUCGGGCACCGGAAAAACCACUGUAUUAACAAUGAAACUGAUUCAAAAAGAGAAACUGACAUUGAUCGCAUCCCAAGGUCUAAAUUUGGAUGGAGCUGAUUUGUCUGUGGCAGGUGACAAUAAUAUUAUGCCACUAAAGAAUGUAGGAGAAAGUUAUGUGAAACAACUAUUUAUCACUGUGAGCCCAAAGUUAUGUUCAGCCAUAAAAGAUCACAUCUGCAGACUUAAAAGAUUUGGCACUGGUGAUGUCUCUGAUCAGCCAAGCAUUCUUUGCAUGCAUGACAUCAUGGAUGACCUGGAAGAGUUUACAGAAAUUCCUGACAAUUUUUGUGAUCUACCUCAUGAGCAAUAUCCUCUUACUAUAACAUAUCGUAAGUUCUUGAUGAUGCUUGAUGGCACAUGCCGAACAUCAUUUUUCGAUGCAUUUUAUGGUGAAAUGAAGUCUAACUUUGAGAGAGGCCAUUCAAGAUCUCGUGCAGUGCAAACUUUUAUUGAAUUGAAUGAAGUUACGUACGAAAAAUUUGCUACUUUCUACUGGUCUCGUUUUAAUAAAGAUCUGACCAAGAAAUUUGAUGCGUCCACUGUCUUCACUGAAAUAGUUUCUCACAUUAAGGGCGCAUAUCCAGCAAGUGGGCCUUAUACUGGCAAACUGGGAAGACAAGAUUAUGUCAUGCUCUCAGAUAAAAGAUUUUCAUCUUUGAACAAAGAGAAAAGAAAUAAAGUUUAUGAUAUAUUCCUUCAAUAUGAGAGUAUGAAAUGCGCUGCCAGGGAGUUUGAUUUGUCAGAUUUUGUCAGUAGUCUUCACAGUAGUCUUGCAUCUGAGUGCUACAAUGGAGAUAUGGUGGAUUUAGUUUACAUAGAUGAGGUACAGGAUCUGACAAUGACACAAAUAGCACUUCUUAAGUAUGUCUGCAGGAACAUGAAGGAAGGCUUCCUUUUUGCUGGUGACACUGCACAGACUAUAGCAAGGGGUAUUGAUUUUAGGUUUGAAGAUAUCCGUUCACUCUUUUAUACUGCAUUCCUCGCAGAAACUGAGGAAUUUAAUCAAGGACUUAAACAUGGGGUCCAUCUCUCUGAUAUGUUCCAAUUGUCUCAAAAUUUCCGCACACAUUGUGGCAUCCUCCGUAUGGCACAAAGUAUCAUGAGCCUUCUGUGCUUCUUUUUUCCAUCAAGUGUUGACAGGCUUAAUCCAGAGACUGGACUUGUAUAUGGAGAAGCUCCUGUGCUGCUGGAGUCCGAUAACGAUGAAAAUGCAAUUAUGAGUAUUUUUGGAGAAAGCAAAAGUAAACAUGGUAAUCUGCAUGGCUUUGGUGCUGAGCAAGUCAUAUUAGUUCGUGAUGAUGCUACCAAAAAACAAAUUAUUGAUCUUAUUGGUAAACAAGCUCUUGUUUUGACUAUUGUUGAAUGUAAAGGCCUUGAAUUUCAGGAUGUGCUGUUGUACAACUUUUUUGGUUCGUCGCCUUUAAGAAAUAAAUGGAGAGUUCUGUAUGGCUACAUGAAAGAUAAAGAUAUUAUAGCACACUCCGAGGGGAUCUCUCACCCAGAUUUCGACAGAAGCAAGCAUUAUCUACUCUGUUCAGAGCUGAAGCAACUCUAUGUUGCAAUCACACGCACUAGGCAAAGAUUGUGGAUAUGUGAAAAUACAGAGGAUUACUGUCGACCAAUGUUUGAGUACUGGAAGAAGUUGUGUCUUGUAGAAGUUAGAUUACUUGAUUCUUCCCUCAUCCAGGCCAUGAAGACAGGGAGCAGCAAUGAUGAUUGGAGGCUACGGGGAACCAAGUUAUUCAAUGAGGGGCAAUUCGAGAUGGCUACUAUGUGUUUCGAAAAGGCUGGUGAUGCACACAGAGAGAAGUGGGCAAGAGCUGCUGGACUUGUAGCAACUGCUGACCGUGCCAUCUCCACAAAUUUGGAGUUAGGCAAGGCUUCAUUGCAAACAGCAUCAGAAAUUUACGAGGCCAUAGGAAUGCAUGAGAAAGCUGCUAUGUGCUAUAUCAAAUUAGGGGACUACAAAAGAGCAGGUAUGGUGUACAUGCAAAAAUGUGGUACUUCUAGACUUGAGGAUGCUGGUGACUGUUUCGCUAGGGCUGAAUGCUGGUCAGAGGCAGCUGAAUGCUGGUCGGAGGCAGCUGAAGUGUUCUUCAAAGCUAAAUGUUACACCAAGUGUUUCUCCAUGUGCUCAAAAGGAAAGCAGUUAUUCAAUCUGGGCUUGCAGUUUCUGCACCAAUUGGAGGAGGAACAUUCGCUUGAGAAUUCAGAACCCUUGGAGGUUUCUACAAUUAGAUCGAAGUAUCUGGAUAUUUGUGCUCAACAUUAUUUUGAGUGUGGUGACAUAAAGCAUAUGAUGCCUUUUGUUAAGGCUUUUAGUUCUACGGAUCAUGUACAUGCAUUCUUAAAGUCUAGGAAUCUUCUUGAUGAACUGUUUAGUUUAGAGAUGGAAAUGUGUAAUUUCAUUGAAGCUGCAGGAAUAGCAAGGCAUAAAGGAGAUGCCUUGCUGGAGGUGAAAAUGCUUGAGAAGGCAGAUUUGUUUGAGGAUGCAACGCGGCUUCUCCUCCUCCACAUCACUGUAAAUUCCUUCUGGUCUUUAAAUAAUAAAGGGUGGCCUCCCAAAAGAAAUCCAGAGAAGGAACAGUUGCUUGCAGAAGCCAAAGAGAUGGCGAAGAAGGUCUCUGAUUGCUUCCACUCCUUUGUUUGCCUGGAAGCUGAUGCACUGUCAGGUGUGAUAAAGUCUCUUCCCAAUUUAAUUUGCACUUUGUUUGAGGGCAGAAAAUGUGGAAACUUGUUUGUCGAAUUUAUUGCUUCCCGUUUGAUCAUUGAUGUUCAUCUUCAGUCUCGAACCUCUGCAUACAAUUUAGAGAGAGGGCCAGGAUCUGAAGAUGAAAAUAGUUGUAAUGAUAUGCUGGCUUCUAACCAGAUGUCACCCCAUACUCUGUUUUAUGUCUGGAAUCACUGGAAGUCGAUCAUACUCAAAGUACUAUCUCAUCUUCGCCACACUGAUGGUCCAGAAUUAAAUGAUUACACAGUUAUGCAUGAAGAACUUUUCGCCAAGUACUUUGGAUUGAGAAAAGAUGAUGAAGUUGAUAGAUAUGUGGUGCUUAACAAGAAUGCAAGUUGGCUUUCUAAUGCUGGCAGAAGUUCUUUGCAGCAAGAUGGCAACAGAUGUUUAUUGGAUGCUCCUCAGUGUCAUUUAUGUGCUAAGUAUUUCUGGGUGAAUGAGCUGUAUUCUGUUGGUUUCAGUGUACUUAAGAAGUUGGAGCCAUUAGUUCACAUUUCUCCAAAGCCACAAUCUUUGUAUACCCUGGUGAGAACAAACGUUAUUAUAAAUGAGAUAGCAAAGUUUUUGGAAGAACCACAGUUCGGUAUGCCAAAAAUGAAGUUAAAAAGCUUCUUUGUUCUCUGUGAGCGUCGCUUCUUUGAGUUAGUUUUUCUUACGUGGAGAGAUGGGACAACAAGGAGCCUCUUGCGUAGAUUUGACUCACCAGCUACAUAUGGAUUGAUUGCUGAUUCUCUUAGUUCACAUCUUCGGCGAACAGAUAAUAAUUUGACUCAUGGGCAUCUUGGGAGAACAACCAUGCUUCUGCUUCAUGCAGCACGAUUGGAUGAUGCGCUACUUUCAAGACUACUACAUUACCUGGACAACAAUUCCAAGUGGGCAGGUUUUUAUCGAUGUUUUAAGAGAUUUGUUGAUACUGGUGCUGAUAGAUCCCACUUGAUCUUGUACUUUGAGCUUGCUCUUGAAUUUACAUUCAGUUCUGUGAUAUGGAGGGAUGAACUGGACUAUAUAUCCCCAAUAUGCUAUGUGGGUCUGAUGGAGUGCCUUGGUUUCAUGGCUUCAUCAUACCUUCUACAGAAAGGUUGUAUAUACUGCACGAAGUCUGUGUUGGUCAAUAUGCUGGAGUGCCGUACCAGCAAGUUUUACCUUGACACCUGCCUGGCAUCUAAUUCGAGCCCAGAUGAUGAUCUUGAUCGUAUGGCACACUCAUCAGGGAGUUUCAUAUUUUAUACAAUUAUGACUAUGUUGACAAACAAGGAUAUGCUAUGGGAGUGGGUACAGAAGACGGCAACUCCUAGUUCAUACUCCGAGGUCCUCCUGAGACUAGUGGUCACACUUUAUACACUGAUUCUAACUCAUGGUCUUGUGUUCAAAAGAAUAACUAAUGAUCUGCGGAAUUGCUAUGAACUCACAAAUACUCUUCAGCGGUGCGGAGUCUUUGAGCAUUUGCCUUUGGAGUUCUCUGAGAAGAUGGUGCAUGUUUUGCAAAUAAGGCCUCGCACGCCGAGCAACUUCACAAGAAUGCUUGCUGAUGCACUGGACGCAGUCGGAGAUCCUAUGGUAGUUAUGGUAGGCUCACCCAAACUCCCAGCAAUCUGUCGGAACAUAAAUGCUUAUAUGAUUAUUAAGGAGGAUUUGUAUGAUGUUCUGAAGAUAAUGGCUCUUCUUCGUCCUGGGGAGCCAAGUUGUCUAAAGCAAGAGGCUGCACUGCCAGAAAAAUCUGAUGUUAACAAAAACAUUCCCAAGGCUGUACAAGAUAAUAAGGCGGAGAGUAAAGGUGAAAUAGAUUUAAGUGAUGAGAAUACCCCCUUCUGGGAUAAGUUUGAGACGUUUCAAGUCAACAAGCAAGGCCAGAAAGAUGCAAGGUUCAUUGUUCAAUUCCUUAGGAAUGCCCUCUCACGGCUGGAGCAAACACGCUUCCAAGAAAAGAUUGAUGCACAGUUGUUGGAAGAGUUCAGGCACAUCUGCAGGGAGUUCGAAGAACGUUCUGCCAGUGCCAGGUAA
rnacentral:rRNA from 1 species